rnacentral:siRNA from 1 species
AGGAACGCCUCUCGAAUCCCUCU